AGGAUGAACGCUGGCGGCGUGCUUAACACAUGCAAGUCGAACGAUGAAAGCCGGAGCUUGCUCUGGCUGGAUUAGUGGCGAACGGGUGAGUAACACGUGAGUAACCUGCCCUUGACUCUGGGAUAAGCACUGGAAACGGUGUCUAAUACCGGAUACGAGCUUCAGCCGCAUGGCUAGGAGCUAGGAAAGUAAUUU
rnacentral:rRNA from 1 species